rnacentral:rRNA from 1 species
AUUGAACGCUGGCGGCAGGCCUAACACAUGCAAGUCGAGCGCGCGGCGGACGGGUGAGUAAUGUCUGGGUCACUGCCUGUUGGUGGGGGAUAACUACUGGAAACGCUAGCUAAUAUCGCAUACCCUCUGAUGUGCCCCGAUGGGAUUAUCUAGUAGGUGUGGUAACGGCUCACCUAGGCGACGAUCCCCCGCUGUUUUGAGAGGAUGACCCGCCACACGGGAACGGAGACACGGUCCAGACUCCUACGGGAGGCAGCAGUGGGGAAUAUUGUACAAUGGGCGAAAGCCUGAUGCAGCCAUGCCGCGUGGGUGAAGAAGGCCUUCGGGUUGUAAAGCACUGUCAGCGGGGAGGCGUUACCCGCAGAAGAAGCACCGGCUAACUCCGUGCCAGCAGCCGCGGUAAUAC